GCGCCACUCCCAAACCAGAGGGAGCAGUGGGUUGGAUGCAGGUGGACCCCAUCCUAAUUCCAAUCCUCCAGUAGGCGUUCAGAAAAAUGAAGUACCCAGUAUAAUCAUUCAUUGUUAUUAAGUGUGCUUUAUGUCUCAGGCAAUACACACAAAUCUCUCACAUGAAUUUGUUAUUUUGGCCCUCAGGGCAACUCUGUGGGAUAGGGGGAGGGUUAUUGUUGCUGUUUUACAGAUGGGGAAGCUGAGGCCCAGAGAAGUUAAGUAAGUUGUCUAAGUUCACAAAGUUACCAGAAGAUUGUGGAGUGGUCUUCCAGGGAGAGUUAUCUUGUAUCAGGAAGGAGAGAUGAUUACUUAGGAAAGCCCAAGAAACAACAGGUAUUUGAAAGCUAUAGCAGUUCAUCUGGGGUUGAUCUGGGAGCAUACAGCAAAAAAAGAGCUAAAAUGCAAGGCACCAACGUAGAAAAGCCCACCUGGUCUCUCUUCUUAGGGUGGCUCCUCUCUGUCUCUCUGCCUCUGCCUCUUGUCCUAGCCCAGCAUGGCCGCAGGUCCCAGGUUCUGUGACAUCACAGUGCAGUGCCCACAGCUCACUGUUGGUUCCUGCCAUUGAGAUUAUCUGAUUGGCCACUGGCCAGCCAAUGGUGGAUCAGACUUUGGAGCAGGUGAUCCUUGGACGCCCACAGUACAUCACCUUCAUGAGCGCAUCAGUGAACACCAGUCUAAGGAAGACAUCUCUGAACGUAAUUUUGGAGAUUUUGAUGAGUUCCAUUGAAACAAGGAGGAAUGUGAUGUCCAGUAUCAGUUCUGCAGACCCAAGGACAAAGAAAAUUCUGUGAUAAACUCAUCCAGUGUGACUGUAAUGUGGGUAUCUAUUUGAUACCUCCAAGUAACUGUUUAUUCUUGUGCCAGUUGAGUAGAUGGUACGGGCCAGUUGGUGUUGAUUAGUGAACCACGGACAAAGGGCAUAUGUCACAUGAGUUGCUCCUGGAUAAAGUCACCCAGUCACUUCCUGAUGAAUAUCCUGCAUAAACUCCAAAGACAAAAGAGAGUUAAGGUUGUUUUUCUCACCUUAGACCAGGCAGUGAUAGAAGAACUGGGGGAAGAGAUAAUUGUAUUUAUCUUGGUGAGGGUGACAAAUCAUGGCAAAUGAGCAAAAUGAAAAAGGAUACAAGACACCGGACUUUCAAAUCAACAAUUGUUUCAAAAGACUCCUACUGGAUUCCUGCUAGUGAUGGGAGAAAAUUAUCAUUCUGCUAGUUAAUCUGUAGCCAGAGAUGAUUAAGGAGGUCAUUAAAGGAAAACAAGCUGCCCACCAUGCUGAUGCCUGGUUGUUCAGAUCGUUGAGGUGGUGUAGAGAUGACGCACACUGGCUCAGUUUACCCACAUUUGGAUCUACGGACCUGCAAGUAAAGAAGCACACAGCCUAAAGGGAAAGCCACUCUCCUGAGAUCCUUGUGUCAACAGAUGACAGAGGGGCCUCUGUCAUGACACACCAGCCCUGGGAUAUCACAUAAGCUACAGGUCAGACGCUGCUUUCCAGACAGAAUUAUGGAGAAGACAACCAUCAUUUUGGAGCUAUAGAUAGUGGAUUUCAAGAGAGUACCAAGGUUGCUACUCCAUAAUGGCCAGAAGAGCAAGCCAAAAACAUCAGAGUAAACACAGAAACCUCACAUCUCAGGGAGGUUUGCUUAACAAACAUAUCAAGACCUGGGAUACCUGGAAAACUGCAGGCCCUGCUGGAAAUUUUCCAUGCUCUUCAUUCGUUCUCCUGUAUUUCCUAACGCCAAUAAAAGAGGAGAUCCCUGAGGACACGCCUCUCUUUAAUAUCUGCUUUCCUUGCAAAGAUAAGCCAAAGACCAAUAGCACAGUGGCUCACCCCUGUAACCCCAGCACUUUGUGAGGCCAA
rnacentral:lncRNA from 1 species